rnacentral:lncRNA from 1 species
AUGACGGUGCUGCAGGAACCCGUCCAGCCUGCUAUAUGGGAAGCACUAAACCACUAUGCUUACCUAGAUGGGGUUUUCCCCGCAGAAUGCCUUUAUGCAGAAGUACACUCAGAAGAAGCCUUGUUUUUACUGGCGACCUGUUCUUACUACCCAGGAAAGGCCUAUAACGCAUAUAGUCUCUUCAAAGUACACAGUUUUCCUACACCGCAAUGCAAAUACCUGCUUGCAAAAUGUUGUGUUGAUCUCAGCAAGCUUGCAGAAGGGGAACAAAUCUUAUCUGGUGGGGUGUUUCAUAAGCAGAAAAGCCAUGAUGAUAUUGUUACCAAGUUUGGUGAUUCAGCUUGCUUUCCCCUUCCAUUGUUGGGACAUGUAUAUUGCAAGACAGAUCGGCUUGUCAAAGGAUCAGAAUACUACCAAAAGAGCCUUAGUUUAAAUCCUUUCAUCUGGUAUCCCUUGAAUCAUUAUGUGAAAUAGAUGAAAAUCCAUAUCCUGACCAAACAUUUAAAUUCACAUCUUUACAGAACUUUAGCAACUGUCUGCCCAACUCUUGCACAACACAAGUACCUAAUCAUAGUUUAUGUCACAAACAGCCUGAGACCUUUCUUACGGAAACACCCCAGGACACAACUGAAUUAAACAGAUUGAAUUUAGAAUCUUCCAAUUCAAAGUAUUCCUUGAACACAGAUUCCCCAGUGUCUUCUAUUGAUUCAGCUGUAAUUUCACCUGAUACUGUCCCACUGGGAAUAGGAACUUCCAUAUUAUCUAAACAGGUUCAAAAUAAACCAAAAACUGGUCGAAGUUUAUUAAGAGGACCAGCAGCUCUUAGUCCAUUAACCCCAAGUUCUGGGAUUUUGCCAUUAGAAACCCCAAGUCCUUGAGAUGGAUCCUAUUUCCAAAACUACACUGAUACACCUUCUGUAAUUGAUGUGUCAUCCACCGGAGACCCUUCAAAAAAUCUGUUGCCAGAAUCGGCCAAACUGCAGCAAAAUCUGUCUUCUCACAGAGUGGAAAUAGCCGAGAGGUAACUCCAAUUCUUUCACAAACAGAAAGUCCUGGUCCCUAAACAAGUACAACACCUCAGGUAUUGAGCCCCACUAUGACAUCUCCCCCAAAUGCACUGCAUCAAAAAAGUUCACAACUCUUUACUAGUGACAGUUCCACAACCAAGAAGAAUAGGAAGAAAUUAAAAAUGAAGUUUCCACUUAAAAUCCCAAACAGAAAAACAAAAAGUGAAACAAAUAAAGGAGGAAUAUCUCAGCCUAAUAUAAAUGACAGCCUGGAAAUUACAAAAAUGGACUCUUCCAUCAACUCAGAAGGGAAAAUAUCCACAAUCACACCUGAGAUUCAGGCAUUAAUCUACAAAAAGCAGCAGCAGAAGGCUUGAUGAGGCUUCUUCCUGAAAAGGGGAAAGGUUAUUUAGCUUUGUGUUCAUACCACUGCAAAGAAGCUAUAAAUAUUUUGAGCCAUCUACCUUCUCACCACUACAAUUCUGGUUGCGUACUGUGCCAAAUUGGAAGGGUCUAUUUUGAACUUUCAGUGUACAUGCAAGCUGAAAGAAUAUUCUCAGAGGUUAGAAGGAUUGAGAAUUAUAGAGUCAAAGCCAUGGAAAUCUACUCUACAACACUUUGGCAUCUUCAAAAACAUGUUGCUCUUUCAGUUCUGUCAAAAGACUUAACAGACAUGGAUAAAAAUUCACCAGAGGCCUGGUGUGCUGCAGGGAACUGUUUUAGUCUGCAACAGGAACACGAUAUUGCAAUUAAAUUCUUCCAGAGAGCUAUCCAAGUGGAUCCAAAUUAUGCUUAUGCCUAUACUCUAUUAGGGCAUGAGUUUGUCUUAACUGAAGAAUGGACAAAGCAUUAGCUUGUUUUUGAAAUACUAUCAGAGUCAAUCCUAGACAUUAUAAUAUAUGGUAAGUGGUAAUG